rnacentral:rRNA from 1 species
AGUGAACGCUGGCGGUAGGCCUAACACAUGCAAGUCGAACGGCAGCUCAGUAAGAGCUUGCUCUUACGGGUGGCGAGUGGCGGACGGGUGAGGCAUACAUCGGAAUCUACUUUUUCGUGGGGGAUAACGUAGGGAAACUUACGCUAAUACCGCAUACGACCUACGGGUGAAAGCAGGGGCUCUUCGGACCUUGAGCGAUUGAAUGAGCCGAUGUCGGAUUAGCUAGUUGGCGGGGUACAGGCCCACCAAGGCGACGAUCCGUAGCUGGUCUGAGAGGAUGAUCAGCCACACUAGAACUGAGACACGGUCCAGACUCCUACGGGAGGCAGCAGUGGGGAAUAUUGGACAAUGGGCGCAAGCCUGAUCCAGCCAUACCGCGUAGGUGAAGAAGGCCCUCGGGUUGUAAAGCCCUUUUGUUGAGAAAGAAAAGCAGCAGGUUAAUACCCCGCUGUUCUGACGGUACCCAAAGAAUAAGCACCGGCUAACUUCGUG